CCCUACGGGAGGCAGCAGUAGGGAAUUUUCGUCAAUGGGCGCAAGCCUGAACGAGCGAUGCCGCGUGAGUGAAGAAGGCCCUCGGGUCGUAAAGCUCUGUUGCGGGGGAAAAAAGGCAGCAUCAGGAAAUGGGUGCUGACUGAUGGUGCCCCGCCAGAAAGUCACGGCUAACUACGUGCCAGCAGCCGCGGUAAUACGUAGGAUGCGAGCGUUAUCCGGAUUUAUUGGGUUUAAAGGGUGCGUAGGCGGAUCGUUAAGUCAGUGGUCAAAUUGCGGGGCUCAACC
rnacentral:rRNA from 1 species